CUUUAAGUAACCUAUAAUAUAAGGUGCUAAACUUUUAAUUUAGUCAUGAUAGAUUUAUCCUUAAAGU
rnacentral:tRNA from 1 species